rnacentral:rRNA from 1 species
UACAGAGGUCUCAAGCGUUGUUCGGAUUCAUUGGGCGUAAAGGGUGCGUAGGCGGGUUUUUAAGUCAGGGGUGAAAUCCUGGAGCUCAACUCCAGAACUGCCUUUGAUACUGAAGAUCUUGAGUCCGGGAGAGGUGAGUGGAACUGCGAGUGUAGAGGUGAAAUGCGCAGAUAUCAGGAAGAACACCCGUGGCGAAGGCGGUUCUCUGGGACGGUACUGACGCUGGAGACGCGAAAGCGUGGGGAGCGAACAGGAUAGAACC